GUGCUCGCUUUGGCAGCACAUAUACUAAAAUUGGAAUGAUAGAGAAGAUUAGCAUGGCUCCUGUGCAAGUAUGACACAAAAAUUCGUGAAGCGUUCCAUAUUUUU